AUCCAUCUGAGGGGUCCCAAACAGGAAGAAAUGUGCGUCCUGGAU
rnacentral:hammerhead_ribozyme from 1 species